GUUGCAAGCCGCUCUCUUCAAGUCGCAUGGGGUGCUUUAUGAGGUCCCAGCUGCGCCAAACAGGUGCACGCACCAUUACAGAUUGCAAGCCGUUCUCUUUAAGCCACAUGGAAUGUUGCAUGAGGUGAGCCUGCAUUUGUAGUGGUCCUUGGGACAUGUGCUGUAGGCUUAUGUAUUACUGGCUUUGUCUUUGUGGUAUACGCCAGGCUGUAUUAAAUAUAUUGCAGGUCCCAGCAACAAAAAUUGCAAGCCGCUCUCUUCAAGCCGCGUGGAGUGCUCUCUGAGUUCCCAUCUACACCAAGCGGGUUGACCCACCGUCAGACCGCAAGCCGC